rnacentral:rRNA from 1 species
AAWUGCCCCGGGGCCUUAAUCYUGGGAGMYGCCAUUMUGSAUAUCUGUKUAGGCUWGAAUAKGGUGAGGAGGRAAGGWAGAAUUUCMGGUGKWAGCSGGUGAAAUGCGUAGGAGAUCUGGAGGGAAUCCCGGAUGGCGAAGGCAGCCUUCUGGCAUCAUAUUGRCACUGAGGUUYGAAARCGUGGUAGCAAACARGAUUAGAUACCCUGGUAGUCCACGCCGUAAACGAUGUCUACUAGUCGUUGGGUCCCUUGAGGACUUAGUGACGCAGCUAACKCAAUAAGUAGACCGCCUGGGGAGUACGGCCGCAAGGGUUAAAACUCAAAUGAAUUGACGGGGGCCCGCACAAGCGGUGGAGCAUGUGGUUUAAUUCGAUGCAACGCGAAGAACCUUACCUGGUCUUGACAUAUCUAGAAUCCUGCAGAGAWGCGGGAGUGCCUUCGGGAAUUAGAAUACAGGUGCUGCAUGGCUGUCGUCAGCUCGUGUCGUGAGAUGUUGGGUUAAGUCCCGCAACGAGCGCAACCCUUGUCCUUAGUUACCAGCGGGUUAAGCCGGGAACUMUAAGGAUACUGCCAGUGACAAACUGGAGGAAGGCGGGGACGACGUCAAGUCAUCAUGGCCCUUACGACCAGGGCUACACACGUGCUACAAUGGUAGGUACAGAGRRCAGCUACACAGCGAUGUGAUGCGAAUCUCAAAAAGCCUAUCGUAGUCCAGAUUGGAGUCUGCAACUCGACUCCAUGAAGUAGGAAUCGCUAGUAAUCGCGGAUCAGAAUGCCGYYCYCYUUUUYUUCCCGCCUGUCACCCCCCGUCACMCCUCCCCUUUCCUC